AGGAGCCCUGGCGAAACCUUUUGAAGCUUGCUGGUCGGUGCUAUAUAGGUGUUAAUUUGGACCAGAUCUGCUUUUUGAUAGAAAGCUUACAAGAGCUGUUCUCGUCUUGUACAGGUUUUAUGGUUUCUUUUGAGUCCAGAGAGUCAAAUAAAAUGGCCCAUGGUCUUCCAAAAUAUGCCACAAGUCUUUCUGGUUUUGUGUCUCGGCUUGAGGAUGGCCCACAAUGGCUUACCUACAUGCUGAUAUGUGUAAUAUUUUGUACAGAGGAAAGGAAACGACUAUGGCAUCGAAAUCUUCAACACCGCCAUAUCCAAGUGCUGCGAGAAUUUCUGACUCUCCUUGCUAUCCUCCAUAUUCUGCUUCUCUCAAAUAGGUACUGCUAAUUCAGUAACUCUGCCACACCACCUGGUUUUGAAAGUUCAAACCCAGAAACUGUCUGAGUCAGAUGCAGACUGAGGAACUUGGCUUGUGAUUGGAAGUGGGCAUUGAAACUGUCAUUUAGGUUAAAUGGGGGUGAGCAAAAUACAAUUAUCUAGGCCUUCCAAUGGCACUGGUUGCUCUGCUGCUACCAUUUUGGCUUUGGGUUCGGUUCUGAACUAUGAGGAAGGAAGAGAUUGGAGCAGCAGUGGUGGUUGUGGCAUAAUUAAUAGUCGGUUAUUUUGAAUUUUCUUAACUUAUGCUAACUAUUCGGAGCCAUUGCUUGAUGCGCAUUCAACGGCAUUAAUGUGUCAUCUAAUUUGUGUGGAUUUUGCGUUUUAUCAAUCCCUAUAGGAGUUGUUGUAAUGAUUGAAUUGUUAUUUUUAGCUAGCAUCUUUUCAUAGUAACAAAUAUUCUUUUGCAUUUUCUUUUUGUAGAGAUCAUAGCACGAUAAAUAUGAUUUAACUUUUUUUUCUUUAGUAAAGAAUUAUUUCUUUUCCUUAAUCAUUUGUAAGUUUUGAUGUUACCUAUCAAUAUGUCCAAAUUGUAAGAGGCAUAUUUAUGCUGUAUAAAAGGUGUUUAAAUGAGUCAUGAACUCUCUGUUCCA